rnacentral:rRNA from 1 species
UACGAAGGGUCCUAGCGUUGUUCGGAAUCAUUGGGCGUAGAGAGCACGUAGGUAGUCUAGUAAGUCAGGUGUGAAAUCCCAGGGCUCAACCCUGGAAGUGCACUUGAAACUGCAUGACUUGAGUACGGAAGAGGUAAGCGGAAUUCCUGGUGUAGUGGUGAAAUACGUAGAUAUCAGGAGGAACAUCGGUGGCGAAGGCGGCUUACUGGUCCUGUACUGACACUGAGGUGCGAAAGCAUGGGGAUCAAACAGG